GAUGAAGAACGUAGCGAAAUGCGAUAACUAAUGUGAAUUGCAGAAUUCCGUGAAUCAUCGAGUCUUUGAACGCACAUUGUGCCCCCUGGUAUUCCGGGGGGCAUGCCUGUCCGAGCGUCAUUGCUGACCAUCAAGCACGGCUUGUGUGUUGGGUCCUCGUCCCCCCCGGGGGACGUGCCCGAAAGGCAGCGGCGGCACCGCGUCCGGUCCUCGAGCGUAUGGGGCUUUGUCACCCGCUCUGCAGGCCCGGCCGGCGCUGGCCGACGCGAAAGCAACCAUUUUUUCUCCAGGUUGACCUCGGAUCAGGUAGGGAUACCCGCUGAACUUAAGCAUAUCAAUAAGCGGAGGA
rnacentral:misc_RNA from 1 species